AUAUUUAAAAGUUAUAUUUCAGUUUGGGAAGAUGAAAAAGUUGUGAAGAUGGAUGGUGGUGAUGGUUGCAUAACAAUUUGAAUAUACUUCAUGCCAGUGAACUGUACACUUAAAAGUGGUAAAUUUUAUCUGAUGAAUAUUUUACCAUAAUAAAUGAGCAAAACAUUUUUUUUCCA